rnacentral:lncRNA from 1 species
GCAUUGCACUCGUGAUUCUGUGAUGAAUUAAAGUAUAGUUAUGACAUCUUUAAACAUGCCUGAUCCUCUUCUUUGUGGCUGUCUGAAGCUUCCUGGACAAAACCAUCCGUUCAACAGUGGAGCAGCACCUGUUUGACAUCAACCUCCCGGAGGAUCCGACAACUGCAGGAAACUGUGUGUUAAACUCGCGUCCGUCGAGCCCAAGAGUGGCGCCAACGGCCCGGCAGAGACGCCGGCAGCAGAGGGAACAGCAGGAGGAGUACACCAGGCAGCCGGACAGAAAAAGAUCUGCAUCCAUCAGGGCUGACACCAACAAGGAGAACAUCCCAUCCGGCGGCAGCGGCAGCAGCGUGGGGGAGGACACGGGCAGCGGCGCAGACCCGCAGGGAGGGAGUGCAUCAAAUCAGCAGACCCCGAAACCCAGGAAGUGGAAGCACAACCCGACUCUCGUGCAGCUUAUCGACAACCAGGCCGACCUCACAUUGAAGGAAUGUUUUGGUGAAAGACCUGAAGGAAGCCACAUGGACACAUCUCAGAAAGAGAAUGCGAUUUCAAGAAGAGAUGGCGUUUCCUCUGCUUCGCAGACGCUCAGGAUGAAGAUCCAGGAGCCGCCCGUCGCCUGUGACUCCGGCAGGAGCGGCUCGGACCCGGACUGCGACAAGCCGAGCUGCGAGGACGUCCCCCGGCUGGACCUGACGGCGCUCACCGAGGACAACAACAACAACAACAACUGGGGAGGUGAGGCUGCCGGGAAAAAGCCCCCCCCGUGUCUCGCUGGGGGUUUUCUUCCUCGCUGUUUUUGCGUCUGGUGUGGAGAACGCGGACAUGUCCGGGCAGCACGCCGUGUCCUCCGCCUGGGCAGCAGCUGCUCUUCCUCCUCCUCCUCCUCCUCCUGCAAAAGAUCCUCUUAACUUCUCCGGGCGCCUAUAUCUGGAGGAGAAAUACUGCAGGCGUGUUUGUUUGCUCUGUUGGAGAGAUAAGGCAGCGGUGCACGAGACAAGUUCAAGUUUAUGGCUUCAUUCGAACAGGAAAUGGUUUUGUUUUUGUUUUUUUCUUCUACUUUAACCAAGCAAUACAAUGUGUGGCAGCUAGAAAUGACAGCUGCUGCUGUUCUCUGUUAAAAUCGAUGGUGGAACGGGGAUCAGUGAGGAGGGUAUUGAUCC